GGAAGGGGUGUAUUUAUUAGAUUAAAAACCAAUGCCCUUCGGGGCUCCUUGGUGAUUCAUAAUAACUUAACGAAUCGCACGGCCUUGCGCUGGCGAUGGUUCAUUCAAAUUUCUGCCCUAUCAACUUUCGACGGCUGGGUCUUGGCCAGCCAUGGUGACAACGGGUAACGGAGGGUUAGGGCUCGACCCCGGAGAAGGAGCCUGAGAAACGGCUACUACAUCCAAGGAAGGCAGCAGGCGCGCAAAUUACCCAAUCCCGACUCGGGGAGGUGGUGACAAUAAAUAACAAUAUAGGGCUCUUUUGGGUCUUAUAAUUGGAAUGAGUACAAUUUAAAUCUCUUAACGAGGAACAAUUGGAGGGCAAGUCUGGUGCCAGCAGCCGCGGUAAUUCCAGCUCCAAUAGCGUAUAUUAAAGUUGUUGCAGUUAAAAAGCUCGUAGUUGAACUUCAGAUCUGGUUGAGUGGUCCGCCUAACGGUGUGUUACUGCUUGACUGGGUCUUGUCUCUUGGUGAACCGUUGUGUUCUUUAUUGAAUGCUUCGGGGAACCAGGACUUUUAC
rnacentral:rRNA from 1 species